GAGUUUGAUUCUGGCUCAGGAUGAACGCUAGCGAUAGGCUUAACACAUGCAAGUCGAGGGGCAGCAUGAACUUAGCUUGCUAAGUUUGAUGGCGACCGGCGCACGGGUGCGUAACGCGUAUGCAACUUGCCUUACAGAGGGGGAUAACCCGUUGAAAGACGGACUAAUACCGCAUACACUUGCUUGGUUGCAUGAUCGGGCAAGGAAAUAUUUAUAGCUGUAAGAUAGGCAUGCGUCCCAUUAGCUGGUUGGUGAGGUAACGGCUCACCAAGGCAACGAUGGGUAGGGGAACUGAGAGGUUUAUCCCCCACACUGGUACUGAGACACGGACCAGACUCCUACGGGAGGCAGCAGUGAGGAAUAUUGGUCAAUGGGCGAGAGCCUGAACCAGCCAAGUCGCGUGAAGGAAGACUGUCCUAAGGAUUGUAAACUUCUUUUAUACGGGAAUAACGGGCGAUACGUGUAUUGCUGUGAAUGUACCGAAGAAUAAGC
rnacentral:rRNA from 1 species